ACGCUCGACACCUACGGGAGGCCGCAGUGGGGAAUAUUGCACAAUGGGGGAAACCCUGAUGCAGCGACGCCGCGUGGAGGAAGAAGGUCUUCGGAUUGUAAACUCCUGUUGUUGGGGAAAAAGAGGAUGGUACCCAACAAGGAAGUGACGGCUAACUACGUGCCAGCAGCCGCGGUAAUCUGAGCGGGCUGGCAAGGC
rnacentral:rRNA from 1 species